rnacentral:ncRNA from 1 species
UAUGGGUAACCCGAAAACCAUAUUAAUAGAGUAGGGG